AUUGAACGCUGGCGGCAUGCUUUACACAUGCCAGUCGAACGGUAACAGGCCUUCGGGUGCUGACGAGUGGCGCACGGGUGAGUAAUGCAUCGGAACGUGCCCAGAGGUGGGGGAUAACGCAGCGAAAGCUGUGCUAAUACCGCAUGUGAUCUGAGGCUGAAAGCGGGGGACCAGGCAGCAAUGUUUGGCCUCGCGCCUUUGGAGCGGCCGAUGUCAGAUUAGGUAGUUGGUGGGGUAAAGGCCUACCAAGCCGACGAUCUGUAGCUGGUCUGAGAGGACGACCAGCCACACUGGGACUGAGACACGGCCCAGACUCCUACGGGAGGCAGCAGUGGGGAAUUUUGGACAAUGGGCGCAAGCCUGAUCCAGCAAUGCCGCGUGCGGGAAGAAGGCCUUCGGGUUGUAAACCGCUUUUGUACGGAACGAAAAGGCUCUGGCUAAUACCUGGGGCUGAUGACGGUACCGUAAGAAUAAGCACCGGCUAACUACGUG
rnacentral:rRNA from 1 species